AACUUGGACAAUCACUUGGACAAAGAAGGAGCUGCACAUCCACGGAUUUUCUUGGGGCUUUUGGGACACCAAAAUCUGACCUUUUAGCACACAAGAGUUGGUGAAGAGCACAAUCUCGAUCAAAGUUUGGAAUUCUAGACACUUCACUUGAGGUUCUGAAAUGCAUGAAGUCUUGGAGAACUAGAACAGAAAUGUUAUAUUUUGAAUG